rnacentral:piRNA from 1 species
UGGCCUAGGAAUGGGAAUCCUACUGUGGUA